rnacentral:rRNA from 1 species
GAGGGGAUGAGGAGGCAAGGAAGCAGAGCAGCGCAAAGGCAGAGAUUGAAGGAACGAAGAGAGGUGCGAUGCGAUAGGCCUUGGAAGGCCUCCCAACGAAACGGUGGGAGGGAAGGCAAGGCAGGUUGCCGUAGCAGCCGUGUCUAGACGCGACAGCCGCCGUCGCCGCGGUACCCGCUCGUCCGGCGCCGGCAAAGGAGGCCGCUCUGCGGACGAGGCCGCCUCCACCCCUGUCCCAACCCCGUCUCCAGCGACGGGUGCGGCAAGGACUUGUUCUGCAUAGUCGACCACCUGCUGGGCCGCCAGCUGCUACAGUAGAGCACCUCGCUCCUGCCCAGCCGCAAGUAGCACACCGCGGGGCGGCUCAAGCGCGCGCUGGAGGAGGGGUUCAUGAAGUUCGUGUUAUUGAAGAGGUCGAAGCACGCGGUCGAGUUGUGGAUGCCUAAAUCCUUCUAACACGGCCUGUCCACCCUCAAGCGGUUGCUGACGAAGGCAGCUCCUCUUUUCGCCGACGAAACACUGUAUGUAGCCGCUUUCCACUGCGGCUGCCACCGCCGGUGGCGGCGCCAGUGCCAUCGACGCCGCCGGCGCUAAGGCCAUCGCGACGGCCACCGCUUCGCUGUCCCGAGCGGCCACGAAAGGCCGCUACUCGUCCACGACAGCAGCUCGAGCAGGGGACUCGGGGGGAAAGAUUUAGUCAUGCGCGGCAGGAUGAGGCCGAGUCCGCCGCAACGGAGGCCGCUAGAGCCCCUUCUCUUGCUCGCCGACGCCGCCCUCUUGAGCGCCGACUGCGCCCUCGAGCCAGUCUACUUCUUCGAAACGUUAUUGUAAAAGCAGGAGUACAGGUUCAUGUGGCUGCCGGUCGUCGGGCUGCGGCGGUUGCGCUGGAGGCGGCGACGGCUGCAGCCCUUAACGAGACCACUCAGCCGUCUCUGUUGCCGCGAGGGUGGAGGCGGCCACGAGCUCGAGAACGGAAGGACGGGUUUACGAGGGUGUCGACGGCUAAACCCGAGCCUCCUUCUCCUCCUCUUCUACUCGCGAUCCGAGAAGCCGCAGACGUAGCCCGCCUUUGCUUACGCAGUGCUGCCGCUCCUGGGCUGCUCGGCUCCUCGCCGCCGCCUCCACUUCGGACUCGGCUACCUGCGCGUCGUCGGGAGGCCUUACCUGCCAGUGUGCGGCCUCCACGUUCGGACCGGGUAAAUGGCCGGGUCUGGGCACAUGGUGGGGGAGGCGCGGAGGCUGCCCAGUUUGACGAUGUCGCCCUCACUGCUGGUGUUGCCCAGGUUGAGGUCCACUCGAGUCGAACUUUUUUCUUCUCCUAUUAUUGAGGUCCACUCGACCCAAGUCCCAGCACAUGACCAUCAUGGCCUCAUCAAUUCAAUUAAUUUACAUCAGAUGAUUAAGUCGUGAUUAAUUCAUGAAGGAGGAAAGGCCAAAUAUCCUCAAUAGAGUUUUAGAAUCAAAAAAAUAAAAUAUUCCGAGUUAAACUAACAAAAAGUAGUGUACAAGUCUAAAGUUCCACGUAAUUUAGUAACGUACGUUCAUAACUUUCUUUUAACUGGUUGCGUACAUGAAAUACGUACGUACGUAACUAUUUGUAUUAAAAAAAAUCUUUUUAUUUUUGUAAUUAAUUCACGAAAACGUUUGAUGUUUUUCAUAAGGUAGUGAGUGGUAGAUAGAACCAACCACUCUAAAAAGUUAAUUUGGAAUAUUCGCCCUUUCCUCACUCAUCAUCAUCAUUCAGUGUACAUGCAUCUCUCUUUUCUUUCGUUUAACAUACACCUUAAGGUCAAAGAGGCAUUCAAAGAGCCGUUCAGGGGUCAUAAAAUAGUAGAGGUUUCAUGAUAAAGAAGGCAAGAGUUUAUGAAUAAAAAGAUCCGUAAAAUUUACCUGAGUUAUAUGCCUACGUACAUCUAUAUAAAAUUUCAUAUUUAAAUAAAUAAAAUACGGCAUACAUCAGUGAAUAACUUUAGAAAUUUUUCUGUUCAUAAAUCUUUGCCUCUCUCAUCAAAAAAUGUAUUUUGUUCGGUCUUUUUAGUCUCGUCACUACUGUUCAAGCGACUACACUAGAAGGCAAGUUUUACUCAUAUAGAAAAACUCAUGAGGGAGACAUUUGAUUAUAUUUUCAUAAAUCUAGUGAUAAAAUUACUAAAUUUUCGAAAAUAUAAUUAAAUGCUUCCCUCAUGAACUGUCGUUCCCUCAUGAACCGUCGUAGUGGAGCUUAUUCUAUAAAAUCGUACAGGUGAGCUCGACCUCUCAAGGGUACAUACAUUAUGAAAGAGGCAAAAUUUUAUCUGCUGAGAUGAAAUAUAAUAUCAACUAUAUUUCAACUUAAUAGAUAAAAUUUUGCUUCUUUCAUGUUGUACCUUGUAAUCACCUUGCAUGCACAUGACGAUGCAAGGUGUUACAUCACGCAGGCAGCGAAAUAACACCUUGGCUCCUUCGUUUCGAAUAAAGAGAGAUACAAGCCUGCACGUCCGACCCUCGGAAUUUAAGUGUAGCAUAUGCUGCUUAUUUACACUAACGGACCUGAUAGGCAGCACAAUAUAAAUUGUGAACCCGAUAUGUGUUGUUGGGUGGAGUACAUUGCAGUUUUUUUUUUUGGUGAAGUACUGCGUAAGAAAGGAGAAAAACGGCCUGAGAGGAAAGUGAGUUAAAAGCGACAUCGUCAUGCAAAAAGCAGCUCGGAAGAAACUUGGUCCCACUGAGCGUGGAGUAGAAGUGGCACCCAAAUGUCACCGUUUCUUAUG